rnacentral:rRNA from 2 species
CGGGCGUCUUAACAUGCAAGUCGAACGAUUAAAGCACCUUCGGGUGUGUAUAAAGUGGCGAACGGCUGAGUAACACGUGGGCAACCUGCCCCUUUCAUUGGGAUAGCCACGGGAAACCGUGGAUAAUACCGAAUACUUCGAGACUUCCGCAUGGAAGACUCGAGAAAGCUCCGGCGGAGAGGGAUGGGCCCGCGGCCUGUUAGCUUGUUGGUGGGGUAACGGCCUACCAAGGCAAUGAUGGGUAGCUGGGUUGAGAGACCGACCAGCCAGAUUGGGACUGAGACACGGCCCAGACUCCUACGGGAGGCAGCAGUGGGGAAUCUUGCACAAUGGGCGAAAGCCUGAUGCAGCGACGCCGCGUGCGGGAUGAAGGCCUUCGGGUUGUAAACCGCUUUCAGCAGGGACGAGGCGAAAGUGACGGUACCUGCAGAAGAAGCCCGGCUAAU